rnacentral:rRNA from 1 species
CCUACGGGUGGCUGCAGUGAGGAAUAUUGGUCAAUGGGCGUAAGCCUGAACCAGCCAAGUCGCGUGAGGGAUGAAGGUUCUAUGGAUCGUAAACCUCUUUUAUAAGGGAAUAAAGUGCGGGACGUGUCCCGUUUUGUAUGUUCCUUAUGAAUAAGGAUCGGCUAACUCCGGUCCAGCAGCCGCGGUAAUACGGAGGAUCCGAGCGUUAUCCGGAUUUAUUGGGGUUAAAGGGUGCGUAGGCGGGCUUUUAAGGCAGCGGGGAAAGUGUGUGGGUCAAACCUAGAAUUGCCGUUGAAACUGGGAGGCUUGAGUGUGUUAGAGGCAGGCGGAAUGCGUGGUGUAGCGGUGAAAUGCUUAGAUAUCACGCAGAACCCCGAUUGCGAAGGCAGCCUGCCAAGCCAUGACUGACGCUGAUGCACGAAAGCGUGGGGAUCAAACAGGAUUAGAUACCCUUGUAGUC